rnacentral:lncRNA from 1 species
GCCAGAGGAAAAGGAAAGGCAUAAUCUGUCUUAAAGGGACAGUCAUAACAUCCUGCCUUGUGCCUUCUACCUAGACAAGAUCCCAGGUCUUUUACCAGCACACAUACAGGAAGUGUUUCGCACGGUAGCAACAGCUACGGACACAAGGGAGUGAAGGUUACACUGCAAGGUGUGAGCGCCGAAUUACUGGCAGCCUACUGAGUCACUAUCCAAAUGAUGAGACAGAAUGCGGUAGGCAGGAAGCAGCUCUCUAGGUGAAUUACGUGUCCACUCUUGGUCACCUACUCGUGUCCGGAUGCUGCCAUGAACUGUCACCAUGACAGAAUCACAGCCGUGCCAAGGAGAGAGAGAGAGAUAGAGCAAGAGAGAGCAGACGGACUCAUCACCGGACCUGUUGCUUCUUGAGCACCUCUCUACUACUGUGACUCUGUCUGUAAUUCAUGACUUCCGCUUCCCCGUCACGCCUGUAGAUGAGAUUUUAAAAAGCCCAUUGAGGUAGUUUCGUUUCCCCUCUGUCCUCUUUGAAAUGUGCCGCUCAGAUGGUAAUCAGGCACACAUUGAAAUACAGGCAGAACCCCAAAAAUUUUCUUGUUGAUUCUCUCACAAUGUGAUCAUAAAAAGAGGAUGGAAGAGGUUCAAUGUAGUGGGUCGAUAGAAUUAUUUGAGCUUUUAACCAUUUUUGAGUGAGAGCUCAAGGAUACAAUAGAAGCAACUAGGCUCCCAGGGACUACAGCGAGGCAUUUCGCCUUCCCUUCGGUUGUCACAGACCAAAACAAACGAGACAGAGAGAGAAGAGGUCUUCAGUGAAAGCUCUGUUGUUGCUUAGAAGCUCUCUGAAACCACCAGACAAAAGCGAAAACGCCCCGAGCUCGAUACGAACAGCAGGCAUUAUGUGAGAACAAAAAAUGAAUGCACUUGCGCUUCGACAUACAAGAUGGAGUAUUACUCAUUCUAAUUAGACACACUCUUUCUUUUCUUCCCUCUCUAGAUACAAACAGCACACACACUAUAAAAGACGAGUCUUUGAACGAGAGUGUGAAUGGAAGCUAUGCCCUCUGGACUGAUAUGUGCCGUUAAGCUGACAGAAAAUGUCACUCUGGAGCCUCCUGUCAGAAUACCCUGGUGAUUCCGCCGUGUAGGACGCAGUCCCCCAUCCUCAUUUCCAUUUGGCCUGGACUACAGACAGUAAGUAACUAAAUAAAAAAUUUUUUUUACUGAAAAACACUGGGUUUAAUGAAAUUCUGCCAGCAUGCCCACACAUUUCCCUUCUCUAGA